UUCAUCACCUGUUAUUAUUGAGAUGCAAUAGGAGGAAAAGAAUGAAAUGAACCAAUCAAUAAACCAACGAAUCGAUCUCUGAGUACCAUGCAUAAAUACCACCAAAAAUUUAAUUUUUCCAGAUGUUUAACUCUGAUUAACAAAAAAAAAAGAUGCAGUUUAAUUUUAAAUAUAUUUAUACCUUGUACUACAAUAGCCCGAUUCCACAAAUAGCAUUAGCAUAUUUCUAUUGACGUGACUCAGAUCUGAAAAUUCAAAGACUCAUGAAAGUGAUACACGGGAAACCUCGUACAUGAGAAUAUCAGGAUAAAUAGACUGCAAAUUUAUGUUUAUAAAAACCCUACAGCAGUUGCCACCAAUCCCAAAAUAAAUGCUGUUGUCGCGAGUUUUGAUCCUCACAUAGUUUCAUAGUUUUUAUAACUUAUAAUUUUAUAUAUUUUUUUUAUAUUUAAAUAUUUUUAACAAAACAAAAUUAAAAAAGAAAGUAAUUCGUAAACUAAACAAUGUUAGCUGACAGUGUCACCGUAAAAUAGUUUAUAAACGUAUAAUAUAUGUGCCUUGUUAUAGCCAGAGCAACAGAUUUUAUUGAAAAAUAGCAGUCAUUUCUUUAGCGGAUUUAUUACAGCAAAUAAAGUCAUUCACUUAAUUUGAUGAAUGUUCACUGGUGGAACCCUGCUAUUAAUCAAACCCUCCCAAAUCCGGGAUGAUUUCAUAUAUUUUUGAUAUUGGUUUAUUUUAUUUCUAGAUGAAAACGGAAAAAAAAUAGCUAGUAAUAUGAGAAAUAAUAAAACGAGUCGGAGUUAGAAAAUUUGUGGGAAGAAAAUUGUAUUGCUCUGACGGAGAAAAUCAAUGUUGUGUUUCGAGUUAGUAACAAAUGACCAGUCACGCUAUGACAUUGAAUUUCAUGGCAAUAUGAAUUUUUCGAUGAAGAUAUACAUAUGAACAUACAUUUUGAACGACUGUAUGAACCAGCCGCUGAGGAAUAUAUAUGUAAGUCGUCGCAAAGUUCGGGACAUAAUUUAGUGGAAUACAAUAGACAGGAGUGUAAUAAGUUAAAUUUUUUGCCUGAAUAGGACAUAAUAAUUCGAUUGGCAUUUGGCAAUUAUUGCUGUCUAGUUGCUUGAGAAUUGUGGGAUUUAUACAUAUGUACAUACAUACACAUGUAUAUAAGAAUAUUUCUGAUAAAAAAAUAUUUGAUUGGAUAUAUUUCUUAAUAUCCUCGCAUGACACCAUUUAUACAUGAUUACAUAUUAAUGAUUUACAAUGCACUUAUGUAUGUAUUUAUGUUUAUUAAUCGUACAUUUCACGUUUAUUUUUAUAAAUGAGUUACACUAUGUAAUACUAAUGUUCCAUAUCCCUAGAACUAAUAUUUAACGGUCAUGGUUUAAUUUUGAAUAAUCAUUACACCUACAAAUCUACAAAUCUUACCAUAUAAAAGUAAUUAAAAUUUCUAGUUAGAGAUCUUUAUUUUGUUUGUCUGUUGUUGUUCUUUAUUCUAUUGGUUUUUCAUUAGAGAUUUUUAAACGAGAACUGACAGUAUUUGCCCAAAAUUUUUCUAUCAGUCGGUGUAAGAGGGCCCUAAUAGGGAGGCACCAUUAAGCGAUUGUUGGGCUCGGUGCACGAGUGCAUUUUUGUUUCUUUGUCACUAAGACUAUUUUUCAAAUUCUUGACACGUCUCGCAGAGUCGUAUAAUUAACUAUCUAGCACAUUUAAACAUUUUUUAUAUUUACAGCAGCCUGCUCAUUAGUUUUUCUUACUCAGACGCUGGCAUUACUUGGGCCUGAGGUAUACAAAAUCCUGUUUUUUUUUUGUGAAGGUGAAUAAGAUUAUUCUAGGCGUUCAAAUGAACGUAUGGCUAUGUAAGUAUUCAAUGGUAUGUAUGCAUGCAUGUUUGCGUGUAAUCCUUUGUGAAGUAAGUUUUCGCUCAUAAAUAGUAAUAUUCUUUAUUAAUUUGUUUUUUAAUUUUUAUGCUUGUUUGUUUUUCUUUCAUUAGGUUAACUUGUUUAUUAGCAUUGCAGUUAUGUUUAUGUUUACAUAUAUUAAUUCACAUAAGAAUACGCUUGUGUACUUGUGUAUUUCAAGUCAAGCAUAUUUAUAUGCGAUUAGAAAUGCCGGUCAAGAUCUUCUUAUCCCAUAUAAUAAAAAACUAAGUGAUGACGCGGCUGGUUGUGGAUACCUUUACGAAUGAUUAUGUCAAUGUAUGUCGAUUAAGAUAUAAAAUAAAAGAUUUGCACUAUCAAUGCUUA